GACGAACGCUGGCGGCGUGCUUAACACAUGCAAGUCGAGCGAUGAAGCACCUUCGGGUGUGAAUUAGCGGCGAACGGGUGAGUAACACGUGACUAACCUGCCCCUUACUCUGGGAUAACGCUCCGAAAGGAGUGCUAAUACCGGAUAUUUAAUUUGGAACACAUGUUUUGAAUUAGAAAGUUUUUCGGUAAGGGAUGGAGUCGCGGCCUAUCAGCUUGUUGGUGAGGUAAUGGCUCACCAAGGCGACGACGGGUAGCCGGCCUGAGAGGGCGACCGGCCACACUGGAACUGAGACACGGUCCAGACUCCUACGGGAGGCAGCAGUGGGGGAAAUAUUGCACAAUGGGCGAAAGCCUGAUGCAGCGACGCCGCGUGAGGGACGACGGCCUCGGUUGUAA
rnacentral:rRNA from 1 species